GUAGGGAAUUUUCCGCAAUGGGCGCAAGCCUGACGGAGCAACGCCGCGUGAGUGAGGACGGCUUUCGGGUUGUAAAACUCUGUUCUUCGGGAAGAACGGUCGAAGGGUGAACAAUCCUUUGGCGUGACGGUACCGGAGGAGAAAGCCCCGGCUAACUACGUGCCAGCAGCCGCGGUAAUACGUAGGGGGCAAGCGUUGUCCGGAAUUAUUGGGCGUAAAGCGCGCGCAGGCGGCCUGUUAAGUCUGGUGUGAAAGACCACGGCUCAACCGUGGGGUGGCAUCAGAAACUGGCGGGCUUGAGUGCAGGAGAGGAGAGUGGAAUUCCCGGUGUAGCGGUGGAAUGCGUAGAGAUCGGGAGGAACACCAGUGGCGAAGGCGACUCUCUGGCCUGUAACUGACGCUGAGGCGCGAAAGCGUGGGGAGCGAACAGGAUUAGAAACCCCAGUAGUCC
rnacentral:rRNA from 1 species